ACGCGUUAAGCACUCCGCCUGGGGAGUACGGCCGCAAGGUUAAAACUCAAAGGAAUGACGGGGGCCCGCACAAGCGGUGGAGCAUGUGGUUCAAUUCGACGCAACGCGCAGAGCCUUACCAGCCCUUGACAUGGGACGUUUGAGCCGCGGAGACGCGGUUCUUCAUUUAGUUGGCGUCCACACAGGUGCUGCAUGGCUGUCGUCAGCUCGUGUCGUGAGAUGUUGGGUUAAGUCCCGCAACGAGCGCAACCCUCGCCUUCAGUUGCCAUCACGUAAGGGUGGGCACUCUGAAGGAACUGCCGGUGACAAGCCGGAGGAAGGUGGGGAUGACGUCAAGUCCUCAUGGCCCUUACGGGCUGGGCUACACACGUGCUACAAUGGCGGUGACAGUGGGCGGCAAUCCCGCGAGGGUGAGCCAAUCUCCAAAAGCCGUCUCAGUUCGGAUUGCACUCUGCAACUCGAGUGCAUGAAGUCGGAAUCGCUAGUAAUCGCGGAUCAGCACGCCGCGGUGAAUACGUUCCCGGGCCUUGUACACACCGCCCGUCACACCAUGGGAGUUGGCUUUACCUUAAGACGGUGCGCGAACCGCAAGGACGCAGCCGGCCACGGUAAGGUCAGCGACUGGGGUGAAGUCGUCGUAACAAGGUAACCGUAA
rnacentral:rRNA from 1 species